AUGGGAACGCGAAGAACCUUACCUAGACUUGACAUCUCCUGAAUAGUGUAGAGAUACAUGAAGCCCUUCGGGGCAGGAAGACAGGUGGUGCAUGGUUGUCGUCAGCUCGUGUCGUGAGAUGUUGGGUUAAGUCCCGCAACGAGCGCAACCCUUAUUACUAGUUGCUACCAUUAAGUUGAGCACUCUAGUGAGACUGCCCGGGUUAACCGGGAGGAAGGCGGGGAUGACGUCAAAUCAUCAUGCCCCUUAUGUCUAGGGCAACACACGUGCUACAAUGGUGAGUACAGAUAGAUGCGAUACCGCAAGGUGGAGCCAAACUCUAAAACUCAUCCCAGUUCGGAUUGUAGGCUGCAACUCGCCUACAUGAAGUUGGAGUUGCUAGUAAUCGCGAAUCAGGAUGUCGCGGUGAAUACGUUCCCGGGUCUUGUACACACCG
rnacentral:rRNA from 1 species